rnacentral:rRNA from 1 species
UGGCUCAGAACGAACGCUUGGCGGAGUGCUUAAUACAUGCAAGUCGAGCGAGAAAGUACCUUCGGGUAGCGAGUUGAGCGGCGAACGGGUGAGUAACACGUAAAUAACCUGCCUUCAAAUCCGGAAUAACAUUGCUAACGCGGUGCUAAUGCCGGAUAAUGUCUAUUUAACGCAUGUUUUAUAGAUUAAAGGUUUACUGUUUGAAGAGGGAUUUGCGGCCCAUUAGCUAGUUGGUAAGGUAAUGGGCUUACCAAGGGCCACGAUGGGUAGCCGGGCCUUAGAGGGUGAUCGGCCACAUUGGGACUGAGAUACGGCCCAGACUCCUACGGGAGGCAGCAGUAAGGAAUCUUGCGCAAUGGGCGGAAGCCUGACGCAGCAACUCCGCGUGAGGGAUGACAGCCUUCGGGUUGUAAACCUCUGUUGAGUGGGAAGAAAAAGUUUUUGACCUUGACGGUACCACUCGAGGAAGCCCCGGCUAACUACGUGCCAGCAGCCGCGGUAAUACGUACGGGGCAAGCGUCGUUCGGAAUCACUGGGCAUAAAGGGAACGCAGGCGCAAAUAUAACGUUAGAAGUGAAAUGUACGGGCUUAACCCGUAACCUGCUUCUAAAACUGUAUUUCUUGAGUAUCGGAGAGGUGAACGGAAUUCCAGGUGUAGCGGUGGAAUGCGUAGAUAUCUGGAAGAACACCAGUAGUGAAAACGGUUCACUGGACGAAUACUGACGCUGAGGUUCGAAAUCUAAGGGAGCGAACAGGAUUAGAUACCCUGGUAGUCUUAGAUGUAAACGAUGGACACUAGAUGGUGGAGUCAUUCACUGUCAGUAGCUAAUGCGCUAAGU